GUUAACGCUCAUAUCACGGAGUAACACACUGGUUCUCGUUCGAUCACCAAAGUUAAGCUCCGUUGAGCGCGGUUAGUACUUGGAUGGGUGACCGCUUGGGAAUACCGUGUAGUGUUAGCU